GCGCCGCCGCCCUGUUGCUUCCGCCUCCCUGUGGGGCGGGAGGGCGCUAUCACCGGCCUCGAGUGGCUCGUCGGGGGCCGGUUCUCCACCUCCCUGGCUCACUCCUGUUCUCCAAAGGCAGCCUGGCUGGGAGCCCAGGACCCGAUGGCGGGUGCAAUGGGCCUGGAUUCAUGGGCCUGCGGAUCACACCUCCCGCCUUGGACAAGAAGGCACGGGAUCCUCAGGUGGCUGGAAGGUGCAGACACCCCUCAGCCCCCAUUUUAGGACUUGCUUCCUUGGAGACCCAACCAAGCGUGUCCUGAUACAAUGCUUGUGAUACAAUACUUUCUACCUGCUUGUCUGGUUCCUGCCUUCCAGACUCAGGCCUCUAGCAACACCCUCCACAGUCCUGGGUUUUGCCUGCUAGUUCAGCCCUAGGUCAAGUACUUCCUGCUACUAACUUUCCGCUAAAUCACCACAGCUUAGCGCCCCCCGUUCCAGGGAAAGUCAGUCUCUGUGGCCCAGGUGUGAAAUGGCACACAACUGCACAACUUUCCCCACCUCGGGGUCAGCCCUAAUCCAGCUGAUGUUCAGUGGUUCCACAUCCCGUUACUGCAGAACCAGAGGGGACUAAGGAUCUGCAGUGGCCAAUUGUGAGCACCAGAGUUGGGAUUAGGAAUGUAUUGGAGAUCAUUCUGUCAGAGUGUGGAGGACAGCAAAUGAGUACCAGUGACUAGACAGAAAGGCCCCCUGGGCCACCGCCGCCCUCUGCCUUGCUGGCCACCUAUGUUCCACACCAGUGUCUCCAUCAUGCUCCAGCUGCAGACACCCAGCCAGCCUCUUGGGAAAGCGUUCCUCUCUGGCCUUCCUGGACUUGCCAUGAGCCUGGAGGUGUUGGAAGAGAGUUCUCAGCGGUACUUCUACCUGUGGUGUGGGCUCCUGAGGACCCCAGGCCCCUGUGUCUGGGGACUAGCUGCUCUUGUCUGCCCUGAUGGUCCUACGGCCCUGACCAAGAUGUUCGUUAGUCCCUGGUGAUGCCAUCGAUUUCCUACCAUGACCCCACACUUCUGGGCCAAACUGCAGGUUUCUGGUGGCCGAUGACAAUUACAGUGGGUGAUCCUGGCACAGACCUGCCUCAGGGUACAGACUUCCCACCCUUAGAGAAUGUCUGUUCUACUCAGAGGCACCUGUUCAUUUUCAUUUUUAUUUUCUUUCUUUUUUUUCUUGUUUGGAUUUUUGAGACAGAACCUUCAUCCUACGCUGGCUUCAAACUCCGUGCAAACUUCGUGCCUCAGCCUCCUAAGAGUUGGGAGUGCAGGAGUGAACCCCCAUGCCCAGCUAUUCUUCACACUGAGCAAGGCACUCCCCUAGUAGUGCAACAGGAGGGACUGCAUUCUUGUUUUCAGCGCCUUCACCCUCUGUGGGGCUCACAGUACACUCUGGUUGCCUCUAGCUAACUCCAUUCUAGCAAGUGGCUGGCUUACCCAACAGAGAAAGCUGAUGAAUAAGAGGAAAUCGCUGGGAGGAUGUUUGGUGAAGGUUUCCUCACUCUUGAGAAACCAUGCUCCCCUUUUGAGAAUAGCUGCUCUUGUCUGGAGGCGAAGCCUACUGUUUUGCAAUCUUCUUGCAGACGUCAGAUGACCAGAAAUGGCAGCCCAAGGAACAUAUUCAUGCUGGGCAUAGAAGUACACAAGAAAGUGAGCAUGGGGCGCCAUAGCUCCAUUAACCCAUCCUCACCAGAAACGUAACUGAAGAGUCAAUGCACUAUGUUUAAACCAGGUGAGUUGGAUUUUCCAUUACCAACAGGUGUCAGCACUUUAACUUUAAACCCAUAAAAACAAAUUGGUUAGGACACUGUUAAAAUAACAGGUUCCAGCUCAUUCUGUGAACCUGUUAGUCAUUGCUAAGUAACUAGUCACUACCCAGGCAGGAGGUGAUGGGCAGCAGGAAGCCGGCACUGGCCGGGCCUCCUAGGCUUGGCAGGUUGCUCUGCUCUCCCUGGUGUUGGCUGGGAAUCAUCAAGCUACUCCAUUCUCCUGGAGACUCUGCCAAGGUAGCUCAGUCCCAGGCACACUGUCUCUGAGGUAGAGAGUUGAAUGGCUUCUUACAACUCCGAGAUCCAGCCUGGGCUCCCUCAUACAGGGGUUGGGUCUCUCAAAAGCCAAAAUGGACUACAGAGCCACUAAAGGCUGAGUUUGGAGGCCCCAGAGCACACUCUGUCACACUCUUCUGGAGAAAGAACAUAUGCCUUCUGCCCCCCUCUACAUGGAGCACCAGAAAGCCAUAUUCCUAUGAGAGUCUCCAGGAUACCGCAGCUGCUAUGCACCGAGGCAGCACAUUGUCCAUCAGGACGCCAUCUUACUUCCUGUGCCUCCCACAACCCCUUCCAGCUCCCUGACCGAUUUGUCUGGAAACUUUUUCUGCAGAAGAAGAUCUUAUUUGAUCAUUUUUGUUUGUUUGUUUGUUUGUUUGUUUGUUUUGGUAACCACCCUCCUCCCCUCCACCUUCUCAGUUUCCCCUCUGGUUCCAGGCAACAGCUUCUUCCCUUAACACUUUAGUCACUAAAGUUUAGUGGCAUCCAUGAGCACCACGUACUUGUUCGCUCAAAGUAGCUUGUCUAACCCUCGUAGAUCAUGAUCACUUGGGGAAGUUGUUUUUCUUUUUAAAAUUUUAAAUAGUGCUUUCCCAAGACUACUCUGUCCCAAACAUUUUGCACAGUGCUUUUUAAAGCUGCCAGUUAGGGCAUGCUGAGCAGGUGAGAAAGGCCUUGCUGGGGAUGGCUACAGUCAUCGAUCGUCCACUCUUUGGCACAGCUAGGGACCUUGUAUGUACAGGUGCUCGACAAAUUGUGAGAGGAUUAAAUUGCACAGACUGCCAUUUCAGCCACCGGGCGUCAGCAGGAAGAACAAAGGGAGGUCCUGAAACAUGGCCAAUGAAAAGAAAAGCUCACAAUCCACAGCAACUCAUGCAGGACGGGUUCCUGUGACUGUGUACCAACUGUGUACUAAGAGUCACAGGAUGUUACUUCUGACACAGAGGCAGCCAAGGAAAGGCUACUCAGGAGACUAAAGCUAGCUCAAGAACUGCCUUUGGACCCCCAACAUCCCAACGUGUCCCCAUCACUGUCCUUCUACUCAACCAGUCUCUGAGGGUGCAGCUCUUUCCAGAAAUUCUCCUUGGCAGGUCUCUGAAGUUUUGCCUCCCCUGCAAGUAAACUCUCCCCUUCCUCAAGUUCUUCAGUUAGGAGAGAGUUCCAGGAUCAGAGGGGCCGUGGUGCCUCCUAAAGGCUCUGUUUACCCAAGUGGUUGCCUGCUCCCCAAUUGAGACUUUUGUGGGGUUAGUUUGCUUUUCAACAUCAUAUUCUUUAGAGACUAUGUAAAAGGAAAAUGUGCUAGGGAUUCUUUUACUUUUUACACUUCCCUAAUUAGUUCUCUAAAGCAUCAGUGAUUUUGAUCCCAUUUUCCUUAAAAAUAAAACCAAGUUCUGUGGUGUGUAAAAUUACCAAUAAAGUAAAUGAAAGUAGUUUGUUGUA